UUGAAUUCUAUCAAAAGUUGGAGGCAAUCUUCGUAGUAAAUCCUCAAGACAUCAUCUUUGCAUUCAGAUCUCCCCAUUAAUUGAUCCACAAUGAGCAUGGAAUCUCCAAAAAUUUUCACAGCAUCGGCUUUGAUUUCUCUCAACAAUUGAAUGCCCUUUAGAAUGGCUGGGUAUUCUGCCUGAUUAUUGGUCGCGGAUGCUUCUAUUGCCAGAGAGAAAUCAUAUCCUGCCCCCCG
rnacentral:lncRNA from 1 species